rnacentral:lncRNA from 1 species
AGAUAGCAAGACUGGGGCUAACCCUCCAAAGACCAUACAUGGUCAUCGGGCGCUCCUCGCCCACACGGGUAAGCUGAGUGGAGGUCGAAGAUAGCAAGAUCGGGGCUAACCCUUGGGGGUUCCCAUAUGACCAUCUAGCACUCCUCAUCCAUUGGUGAGUCGAGCGGUGGCCGAAGAUGGCAAGAUUGGGGCUAAUCCUACGAGGAUGCCACGUGACCAUCUGAUGCUCUUCGCCCACAGAUGAGUUGAGCGAAGGCCAAAAAUGGCAAGAUCGGGCCUAACUCUCCAAGUAACCCAUGUGACCAUCUGAUGCUUCUCGCCUAUGGAUGAGUCGAGCGAAGGCCCA